rnacentral:lncRNA from 1 species
GAUGUCACAAAUGACAACACGUUGGGAAGGGUUUAAAAUAUAAUUUUGGUCACAUUCUUUAGCUCAGAUUGAAUUUUAUAAAAACCUGAUCAUCAAUCCUCUAAUUCAUCCCGAGAUGAAGAGAGGCCUAGACUUCUCUUCAUUACUCUAGUUAUUCAGAGUUUUUUUAAAGUAGCCCUAUGAGAGUUGCAACAAGUAAAUUCUCCUGGAGUUUUCGUGAUAAAGAGGGCAUUUUUUCCACAAGCUGAGGACGGCUUCAUAGAAGAGCAGAUUUGAAUGAAGACAUACAAACUGAUAGACAUCUAAAAACAAUAUAGGGAAAAAAUGCAACAAAGAGCAAACAAAUAAACCACAAGCGUUCUUGGAGCUUUCAUGGAGUUUCUAUCAGCCUUUUACUUUAGGCAAAUCUCUGAUGAAGAGUUCAGAUUUCAUUUCCGCUACCACAGCAGUUUUCCAGAGCUGUGCCAUAUACCAUGAGGUACUCAAGAUGUUUGCAGUUUCAGGGAGACCUGGAGAUCAAAACUAUUUCCACAAUGAUAGUAAACUGAUAUAUUUGCCUUUUUUACUGUGUUGAAAUUUAAACUCAUGGUACAAAACGAGUGGUGGAUAAAACCAUUGAUGCUUUCACACCAAUCAAGACAAGCGAAAGCAGACCGUACUACUAAACUUUUUAUAACUUCCCUCUACACAAUCAGAGGGAGAAACCACAACAGCAGCAACUUAUUGCCAAAGCAGUAAAAUAUGAUUAAUUUUCAUAAACAAUGGCCUUUGAGUAUGAGUGUAUGUACUUUUGAUAUUCUGUGUGAUAAAAUGUAAAAUUCUCAUGAAGAACUUCUGCUGUCUACUAAAGUAUGGUGGUUGAUGGUUGUCUUGAAGGAAAGUACAUCUGUGAUUGAGUGGCAAGCUGAGCCAGUUGAUUUUUUUCCAUUCAACAGAAGUUUUAUUUCAAAGAUUGGCUUACAAUCUUACUCUUGUCAUUCAGGCUUGGGCAUUUAGCAGACAUUUUCUAGAAAAAUCAACAAAGUAAGCAUGACACUUCAAAGAACAUAACUAAAAGUAUUUGUUGGGAUUCAUAAAAAUUGAGCUUUUUGUGAAAAGUGAAAUUUUAGAAAAUGUAUGUCAAUGACUAAGCUUGACAGCCUUCCAACUCUUGGAGUCUUUUCUGACAAGGUCAGUAAUUAUAUAAAUGGAUGCUAUUUAAAAAUAUUUUAUAAUUAAAUGUGCCAACAUUUGAGAGAUUUGCAUAAAUCAAUAAAACAAUAUUUUCCAAUUGAAAAAUAUACAGGGUUAUAAAAUCAUAGGCUGGGAAAAGAUCCAGUCAAAUUCAAAAUACACCAAUGGAUUUUAAUGUACCAGAUGAUAAAAAGUUUACUGAUACGGUUUCAGUUAACACAUUGCAACUAACUUUUAAUAGACUACACUUUGUGGAGUUUUGGUAUAGUAUAAAAGAAGAAUAUGCAAUAUUACCUAAAUAUAUUAUUGAGAGAUUGCCUGCCAUAAAAACAGCAUGAGUUUGAGUGAGAAAAGUAAUUCCAUCAGCCUCCUCUUGUUCCCCAAAAUGGCUAGCUACAGAGAGUUUGUCACUGAAGAUUAAGCAAGUUUUUCCUCUUUUGAAAUCUCCCCAAAUCGCUUAUCUACCCAAUUGCAGCCAACCAAGUGAGAGAGCUGAGUAUAAAGGGGUCACCAGAGAACCCCCAACCCACCUGUCCCUGGGAUGAGUGCACACUGGGAUGGAGCCUCGGGAAGUUUGUUCAUUUGCAGUGGGGAGGAGCUUGGCCCCUCCUCUUCCUGGGUGGAACCUGGAAUUCAAUCUGUGAGGCAGGACGCACACUUGCAGGACCCUAGCUUUGCAGAGAGUCCUGUUUCCCUUUCUGUCCAUUUUUGCUCAAAAAUUCCAUUUUUUUCAACCUUCAAAGUGUCUGCGAGUCUAAUAUCUCAUGGCCAUGUGACAAGAAACUGGCUCUUAGCUGAACUAAGGAAAAAGUCCUACGACACAAGGACACAAAAAUGUACCUGAAGAACAAUUAGAAAGUCUCCACCACUUUCAAAAAUCCCGUAAGAGUGUUAAGAAAACUUGCUAAUCAGAGUCUAUCUAUCUCAGGACUUACUCCUUUUCCUCUAUAAAACCAAAACUUCCUUCAAAUACCUUUGAAUCCUGCUGAAAAGAGCAUGGCCACAGAUAGUUUCCUUUAAGGCUGCAUGAUCAGGAAUAAGUAGCAUUUACUAAUUUUGUCUCAAAUUUAAUUUUAUCUUUGACAUUAUUAAAAUAAUUAUUCCUUUUCCUACUAUAAAAAAAAAAAAAAAA